AAAAUACACUUCAAGAUUGUGUAUCUGCGCACGCUUGGAGUUAUGUCACUGUUGUCACGUUACCAAGAGUUACCAAGUUUGUACAAAGUUUUGUACUUUUGUAGAAAGAGAUUCACAAUUUUUUUUAAAUUGACUGAGCAACGUUGCGGGCAGGACCUUUUACUCCUGACCAAUCAGCCAAAACCACCGCCGCCUAUUCCUGCAACCAUUGGCCGGAUUGUUCCAUCAAUCAAAUCUCAGGAAGUAGCUUGAAGAGGAGAAGGGAAGUCAUUUCUACAAAGUAACUGGAAUAAAAUGAUCUACCUGAAGGUGGAGGGGGAGUAAGAUCACUAGAAAGCAGAAUGCUGCCAGACAACCACAGGACCCAAGAGACCUCUACAUGCUGUAACAUGGGCCUGGAUGGUGAGACACCACUGCUUCCAGCUGCCUUACUGAAUAUUGGGGCCUUCAGUGGUACCUGACAUUACAGUAAGAGUCUCUUCAUCUCGUUCUCGAAGCCAUUUAACGUGUCAUCAUGUAUUUUAUGUAACCACUCAUUCAUCCAAACUGCUACAGACAUAAGAACAGACUUAUAUUCACUUGUCAAUUUGUCCUAUUCUUCAGGCUUUUCUGGGAUAUAUAUUUUAGUUGGCACACCUUUGUGAUGUCUUAUAUACAUGAAUAAAAUGUCUUCACCCUGGACAUGAGGCUCCAGUUCGACAAUGCAUGCUUCCAGCAGGAUGCACAGACAACUAUGGUUUGCAUGCCCUACUGAAGGACCCUACCGUGCGGAAUAGGUGGUUGUAGUUCGUUGGUCCCCAAUGGUGGUGAGUAUACCGGUAGCUAAACCAUAGACUGCUGGUUAUGUAUCUGGUUAUGUAUAUAUUGUUGAUCGUUAUCACUAUCAUCACUGGCAUAGCUGAUGUUCACACUUCAAUACAACUCAGAUUUGACUUGGAAACAGAAUAACAUUUCAAAAGAAGGCAAAUAAUUAGUAGGAACCUCUUGUCAUGAUUGUGAUGUCGCCAGAUUGACUUUAGAGGCAGUAUAACUUCUGCCAGCUAACUAAAAUUGAGGGGAACACUGUAUUGUAGCUAGCUAACAUUAGCAUUGCUAGCUAUUUUUGACUAACUUUGCUAGUUACAUUAAUGGCAACAUUGCCAUCUCUCUAAUGGAAAUUUGACGACAUCAUAAUAUGGCAAAGUUUUUUCUUACUAAUUUAUUUGCCUACUUCAGCAAUGUCAUCUUGUUUCCAUGCCACUAUAAUUUAGUUUAAUUUAGACCAAACAGUCACAUUAGCCUUUUGAGGUGCAACCCAUGUCUAAGGCACAAAUAAAUAUUGGAUGCAGCUAUGGUGGUACUAGCUAACUCAUGUCUGACUACAACGGUGUAUGUAAACUGCCAUUAUUUGUUUCUUAUUUCCAAGGCAUAACUUAGCUUGAUGAACGAGCCUGAUCGCUGUGUUCACCAUUCUAUUUCUCUUCACAUUUUAUGAUAUCUGAAGUGAAAUAGAAAGGUGAACACAAGGAUCAGGUUGGUUCCCCCAGGCUAAUCAUAACUACCAUUGAUUGUGUAUGUGUGAAAGAGACGAUCCAGUAUCUUUGAUGAGGGGCCAGGAGCUGAUCUACGCUGCUAUGCCCAUAAAUGUGGCUCUGGCAAAGACCUCCCCUCUUGCCUGCUCACCAACAGUUGUCGAUGGGGAGAACAAAAUUAGAUACCUUUAUGGAGACAGCACUUGGGAGACUUCCAAGAUGAUAUGAUGGAGUCCAGACUGACAAGACAGGCUUGAUGCUGAUGUCUCUGAAUGGAUCAAGACCUUGCACUCAGCAAUAUAAUUAUACAGGACACAUCUA